rnacentral:rRNA from 1 species
GGAUUAGAUACCCUGGUAGUCCACGCCGUAAACGAUGGAUGCUAGCUGUUAGGAGUAUCGACCCUUCUAGUAGCGAAGCUAACGCGUUAAGCAUCCCGCCUGGGGAGUACGGUCGCAAGAUUAAAACUCAAAGGAAUUGACGGGGACCCGCAUAAGUGGUGGAGCGUGUUCUUUAAUUCGAUGUUAAGCGAAGAACCUUACCAGGACUUGACAUCCUUGGAAUUUUUGGGAAACCAGAAAGUGCCUUUUGGAGCCAAGUGACAGGUGUUGCAUGGCCGUCGUCAGCUCGUGCCG